rnacentral:rRNA from 1 species
GACGAACGCUGGCGGCAUGCCUAAUACAUGCAAGUCGAGCGAACAGAUGAAGUGCUUGCACUUCUGACGUUAGCGGCGAACGGGUGAGUAACACGUAAGGAAUCUACCUAUAAGCGGGGGAUAACAUUCGGAAACGGGUGCUAAUACCGCAUAAUAUCUUCUUCCGCAUGGAAGAAGAUUGAAAGACGGCUCUGCUGUCACUUAUAGAUGACCUUGCGGUGCAUUAGUUAGUUGGUGGGGUAACGGCCUACCAAGACGAUGAUGCAUAGCCGACCUGAGAGGGUGAUCGGCCACAUUGGGACUGAGACACGGACCAAACUCCUACGGGAGGCAGCAGUAGGGAAUCUGCCGCAAUGGGCGAAAGCCUGACGGAGCAAUGCCGCGUGAGUGAAGAAGGCCUUCGGGUCGUAAAACUCUGUUAUAAGAGAAGAACAAAUUGUAGAGUAACUGCUACAGUCUUGACGGUAUCUUAUCAGAAAGCCACGGCUAACUACGUGCCAGCAGCCGCCGUAA